rfam:Schistosoma margrebowiei strain Zambia genome assembly, scaffold: SMRZ_contig0001277
ACCCAGAUGACGUGUCCCAAACAGUACGAAACGCGAGUCCUGUAU